CAUUCUUAUUUUAUAUAUGAGCAAACUAUGGAAUGGAAAAGAGAAUAUGAGUGUAUCACUUGAUUUGAUUUGCCCUGUGUUUUUUAAACGAAGAUCUGGCAAGAGUUAGCGUGCAGUUCUACAUUGUGACGAUCCAUGAGAGCUAAGGACUGGCUGUCUCUUGGGACAAAUAGGCUUUCUUGAGUCUGCAUGAGGCUCUCACCAGAUACAGCCACCUGAUCUUGGACUUCACAGCCUCCAGAAAUUUCCUAGGAAACAAGUUGUUUCAACUCUCAUUGGAGGAAGUCUAAGGUGAUCUCAGGGAAGGGGAGAAGGGCUGGUUGCCUGCCAAAUCUAUGAUCAAGUCAGCUCCACAGUCACUUUGCUUCCACUUCUAAGUGAGAACAUACAGUGUUUGGUUUUUCAUUCCUGAGUUACUUCACCUAGAAUAAUGGCCUCCAGCUCCAUGCAAGUUGCUGCAGAAGACAUUAUUUCAUUCCUUUUAUGGCUGAGUAGUAUUCCAUGUCCAGUGAUUCAAGUUUGACACACCACACCACGGUGGAUGUGCCUUGUCAUGACACAUCUUCUCAGCAGCACUAGAAGAUACAUCCAAAGUCCUGUGAGCAAGGACACAGCGAGAAGAUGGCUGUCUACAAGCCAGGAAGAGAGUCCUCACCAGAACCAAACCCUGCUGGACUUUGAUCUUGGACUUCCCAGCCUCGAAAACUGUGAAGACAUAAAUUUCUGUUGUUUAACCCACACAGGUCUGUGGUAUCUGUUUAUUAUGGCAGCCCAGUACGACUAAGACAGGCCAUCACAAGAUGUGAACGUUUUGGACCUUCUCUUGGGCCCUAGUAAACAGAAAUCAGGUAUGCAAAAGGGGUAAGCAUAUAAUUUCCUUUAUUUUUAUUUUUAAUGUGUAAGCCUUAGGUUUUUAUUUAUUUAUUUGGUGAAGACAAUCACAUUGUGUACCUACAAUGCAAUUAUAUUGUUGAUGAGAACUUACUUAAAAUUUUUUAAAAAUUCUAUUUGAUUUGUAGAUGUCCAAAUGACAAGAUAGCAUUUAUAUACCAUCAGAACAUAAAAUAAUUCAAAAAAAUAAAUUUAUAAAACAAUAUGUAUUAUAUUGAGAGAGAGAGAGAGAGAGUAUUGGAAGAAUAUAUACAAAUACAAUGUGAUAAUGUGAUGUCUUUGUGAGAAUGCUAUAUGUAAUUUUCUUUGUUUAUAUGAAUUUUUACUAUUUUUACCUUUGAAAUAUAUAAAAGAGAGAAUAAAAGUCAUUGA